ACUCUCUGCCUUGGCAGCGCAUACACUAAAAUUAGAAUAAUAUAGAGAUUAGCAUGGUCCCUGCAGAAGGAUGACAUGCAAACUCAUGAAGUGUUCCAUAUUCAA